CCUACGGGAGGCAGCAGUGAGGAAUAUUGGUCAAUGGACGAAAGUCUGAACCAGCCAAGUAGCGUGAAGGAUGACUGCCCUAUGGGUUGUAAACUUCUUUUAUACAGGAAUAAAACGAGGCACGUGUGCCUUUUUGCAUGUACUUUAUGAAUAAGAAUAGGCUAACUCCGGGCCAGCCGCCGCUGUAAUACGGCGGAUACGAGCGUUCUCCGGAUUUAUUGGGUUGAAAGGGAGCGUAGAUGGGUUGUUAAGUCAGUUGUUAAAGUUUGCGGCUCAACCGUAAAAUUGCAGUUGAUACUGGCAGUCUUGAGUACAGUUGAGGUAGGCGGAAUGCGUGGUGUAGCGGUGAAAUGCUUAGAUAUCACGAAGAACCCCGAUUGCGAAGGCAGCUUACUAAACUGUGACUGACAUUGAUGCUCGAAAGUGUGGGUAUCAAACAGGAUUAGAUACCCUUGUAGUC
rnacentral:rRNA from 1 species